UAGCCUCAGCUGCUUCUCAAAGCACCAUUGGCGAUGUGAUUUUCUUGGCCCUUUAGUGCCACCCUUACACAGACUACUGUCAAGAUCUGGCAAGGGCUGGACACCGGCUUUUGCCUGGGCCUGAGUGGUGACAGGACAUGAAACAUUCACACUGAUUUCAGUUUUGUCUCCAGAGUCUAUUAACAGUGGUUGUUUUUUCUCCUGCAACAAGUGCAUCAAUACAGGCACAUCACAUCCCAGAAUAGCAUCCACAGGUAAGUGUUCCACAACCCCAAAAGUUAGCACAUAAGAUUGUCCAUCAAUAGUAACAGUCAACUCAGCUUUAGGAUAAAAAUGUGUUUCCCAAUGAGCACACAAAAUGCCUGCUUGUCUGCUGUAAUCCACAUAGCUGUCAUGGUUCUGUGUGUAUGUGUGUUUGAGUUUGCAGGUAGGGCUGAGCAGGUUGCCAUGGGGACAGAGGGCGGAGGCUGGAGCCACAAUUGAUACCACCUGCAGCUCAUCAGCAUGCUCGUUAGCUGGCUUUACUCCCAGCUAUUUAGGAUCAAGCAGGAGCUCCAGUCAUUCUUUGCAGCGUGGUAAUCAGGCCUCUUUCUUCGAUCUGUCUUGUGCCUUGUUCUCUGGAAAGCUUAUCUUGUCAUCUCUAUUCCUCAGCCACAGACCUUGACUUCUCGGAUAACCACUGCACCCAGGUUAAGGACUAUUCCUCGUACCAAGCUGACUGCCUCCCUGCUCGCCCUGCCUGCAACCAAGCUCAUAUCACCACCACCAGAAACCAUCUCUUGGCUACUCCUCCACCAUCGGUCUACCUCUGGAACACAGAAGAACCAUCCGGACCUGGACCACGCCACAAUACUUAUUAUUAAUAAACAUUGUUUGCACUUUC